rnacentral:rRNA from 1 species
UACGUAGGGUGCAAGCGUUGUCCGGAAUUAUUGGGCGUAAAGCGCUCGUAGGCGGUCUGUCACGUCGGCUGUGAAAACCCGAGGCUCAACCUCGGGCCUGCAGUCGAUACGGGCAGACUAGAGUUCGGUAGGGGAGACUGGAAUUCCUGGUGUAGCGGUGAAAUGCGCAGAUAUCAGGAGGAACACCGGUGGCGAAGGCGGGUCUCUGGGCCGAUACUGACGCUGAGGAGCGAAAGCGUGGGGAGCGAACAGG